AAUCCAUAGGUUAAUGAGGCGAACCGGGGGAACUGAAACAUCUAAGUACCCCGAGGAAAAGAAAUCAACCGAGAUUCCCCCAGUAGCGGCGAGCGAACGGGGAGGAGCCCAGAGCCUGAAUCAGCAUAUGUGUUAGUGGAAGCGUCUGGAAAGGCGCGCGAUACAGGGUGACAGCCCCGUACACAAAAGCGCAUGUGCUGUGAGCUCGAUGAGUAGGGCGGGACACGUGGUAUCCUGUCUGAAUAUGGGGGGACCAUCCUCCAAGGCUAAAUACUCCUGACUGACCGAUAGUGAACCAGUACCGUGAGGGAAAGGCGAAAAGAACCCCGGCGAGGGGAGUGAAAAAGAACCUGAAACCGUGUACGUACAAGCAGUGGGAGCCCCACCACUAAGCCAGUGGUGAACUCCACAUACGCAUCCUUUGCUGAGGAUACGGUUAACGGAGCGAAAGCGACGUUCAACCUCAAAAGAAGCAGAGGGGGCUUAGUGGUGGGGUGACUGCGUACCUUUUGUAUAAUGGGUCAGCGACUUAUAUUCUGUAGCAAGGUUAACCGUAUAGGGGAGCCGGAGGGAAACCGAGUCUUAACCGGGCGUUAAGUUGCAGGGUAUAGACCCGAAACCCGGUGAUCUAGCCAUGGGCAGGUUGAAGGUUGGGUAACACUAACUGGAGGACCGAACCGACUAAUGUUGAAAAAUUAGCGGAUGACCUGUGGCUGGGGGUGAAAGGCCAAUCAAACCGGGAGAUAGCUGGUUCUCCCCGAAAGCUAUUUAGGUAGCGCCUCGUGAACUCAUCUCCGGGGGUAGAGCACUGUUUCGGCUAGGGGGCCAUCCCGGCUUACCAACCCGAUGCAAACUGCGAAUACCGGAGAAUGUUAUCACGGGAGACACACGGCGGGUGCUAACGUCCGUCGUGAAGAGGGAAACAACCCAGACCGCCAGCUAAGGUCCCAAAGUCAUGGUUAAGUGGGAAACGAUGUGGGAAGGCCCAGACAGCCAGGAUGUUGGCUUAGAAGCAGCCAUCAUUUAAAGAAAGCGUAAUAGCUCACUGGUCGAGUCGGCCUGCGCGGAAGAUGUAACGGGGCUAAACCAUGCACCGAAGCUGCGGCAGCGACAUUUAGGUGUUGUUGGGUAGGGGAGCGUUCUGUAAGCCUGUGAAGGUGGCCUGUGAGGGUUGCUGGAGGUAUCAGAAGUGCGAAUGCUGACAUAAGUAACGAUAAAGCGGGUGAAAAGCCCGCUCGCCGGAAGACCAAGGGUUCCUGUCCAACGUUAAUCGGGGCAGGGUGAGUCGACCCCUAAGGCGAGGCCGAAAGGCGUAGUCGAUGGGAAACGGGUUAAUAUUCCCGUACUUGGUGUUACUGCGAAGGGGGGACGGAGAAGGCUAUGUUGGCCGGGCGACGGUUGUCCCGGUUUAAGCGUGUAGGUGUGUGUUCCAGGUAAAUCCGGUUCACUUUAACACUGAGGCGUGAUGACGAGGCACUACGGUGCUGAAGCAACAAAUGCCCUGCUUCCAGGAAAAGCCUCUAAGCAUCAGGUAACAUCAAAUCGUACCCCAAACCGACACAGGUGGUCAGGUAGAGAAUACCAAGGCGCUUGAGAGAACUCGGGUGAAGGAACUAGGCAAAAUGGUGCCGUAACUUCGGGAGAAGGCACGCUGACACGUAGGUGAAGUGAUUUACUCAUGGAGCUGAAGUCAGUCGAAGAUACCAGCUGGCUGCAACUGUUUAUUAAAAACACAGCACUGUGCAAACACGAAAGUGGACGUAUACGGUGUGACGCCUGCCCGGUGCCGGAAGGUUAAUUGAUGGGGUCAGCGCAAGCGAAGCUCCUGAUCGAAGCCCCGGUAAACGGCGGCCGUAACUAUAACGGUCCUAAGGUAGCGAAAUUCCUUGUCGGGUAAGUUCCGACCUGCACGAAUGGCGUAAUGAUGGCCAGGCUGUCUCCACCCGAGACUCAGUGAAAUUGAACUCGCUGUGAAGAUGCAGUGUACCCGCGGCAAGACGGAAAGACCCCGUGAACCUUUACUAUAGCUUGACACUGAACAUUGAGCCUUGAUGUGUAGGAUAGGUGGGAGGCUUUGAAGCGUGGACGCCAGUCUGCGUGGAGCCGACCUUGAAAUACCACCCUUUAAUGUUU
rnacentral:rRNA from 1 species